rnacentral:rRNA from 1 species
AGUGAACGCUGGCGGUAGGCCUAACACAUGCAAGUCGAACGGCAGCACAGUAAGAGCUUGCUCUUACGGGUGGCGAGUGGCGGACGGGUGAGGAAUACAUCGGAAUCUACUUUUUCGUGGGGGAUAACGUAGGGAAACUUACGCUAAUACCGCAUACGACCUACGGGUGAAAGCAGGGGAUCUUCGGACCUUGCGCGAUUGAAUGAGCCGAUGUCGGAUUAGCUAGUUGGCGGGGUAAAGGCCCACCAAGGCGACGAUCCGUAGCUGGUCUGAGAGGAUGAUCAGCCACACUGGAACUGAGACACGGUCCAGACUCCUACGGGAGGCAGCAGUGGGGAAUAUUGGACAAUGGGCGCAAGCCUGAUCCGGCCAUACCGCGUGGGUGAAGAAGGCCUUCGGGUUGUAAAGCCCUUUUGUUGGGAAAGAAAAGCAGCAGGUUAAUACCCCGCUGUUCUGACGGUACCCAAAGAAUAAGCACCGGCUAACUUCGUGC